UGGGUGAUCUGCCCUGCACUUUGGGAUAAGCCUGGGAAACUGGGUCUAAUACCGGAUAUACCUCAUGGACUGCAUGGUUUGUGGGGGAAAGCUUUUGCGGUCUGGGAUGGGCCCGCGGCCUAUCAGCUUGUUGGUGGGGUAACGGCCUACCAAGGCGACGACGGGUAGCUGGUCUGAGAGGACGACCAGCCACACUGGGACUGAGACACGGUCCAGACUCCUACGGGAGCA
rnacentral:rRNA from 1 species